GUUUCCGUAGGUGAACCUGCGGAAGGAUCAUUGUCGAAACCUGCCCAGCAGAACGACCCGUGAACCCGUUAUCAAACCUCGGGGGCGCUCGGGCCUCGGUGCCGGGGCGCUCCCGCCCGUCUCAUGGGCGUUGGCCGUGCGCUUCGGCGCGCGUCCUCGCCCGUGCGGCGCAACAACGAACCCCGGCGCGGACUGCGCCAAGGAAAACUGUACGAGAGAGCUCGCCCCCGUCGCCCCGGACACGGUGCGCGCGCGGGGUGCGUGGCCUUCUUUAUUUGAACAAAACGACUCUCGGCAACGGAUAUCUCGGCUCUCGCAUCGAUGAAGAACGUAGCGAAAUGCGAUACUUGGUGUGAAUUGCAGAAUCCCGUGAACCAUCGAGUCUUUGAACGCAAGUUGCGCCCCAAGCCGUUAGGCCGAGGGCACGUCUGCCUGGGUGUCACGCAUCGUUGCCCCCCGCAAUACGCGCAGGCUGAACGCUUGUCGUUGCGGUGGGCGUACAUUGGCCUCCCGUGCGCUCCCGCUCGCGGUUGGCCCAAAAUUCGAGUUCUCGGAGACGCGUCCCGCGACUGUCGGUGGUGUUCGUAAAAGAGCCUCGAGAUCCUGUCGUGCGGCCGCGUCCCUCCCCCGGGAAGAGACUCUGUGACCCUGAAGGAGCUUACGCUCGCAUCGCGACCCCAGGUCAG
rnacentral:rRNA from 1 species